AUGAACGCUGGCGGCGUGCCUAAUACAUGCAAGUCGAGCGAACGGACGAGAAGCUUGCUUCUCUGAUGUUAGCGGCGACGGGUGAGUAACACGUGGAUAACCUACCUAUAAGACUGGGAUAACUUCGGGAAACCGUAGCUAAUACCGGAUAAUAUUUUGAACCGCAUGGUUCAAAAGUGAAAGACGGUCUUGCUGUUACUUAUAGACGGAUCCGCGCUGCAUUAGCUAGUUGGUAAGGUAACGGCUUACCAAGGCAACGAUGCAUAGCCGACCUGAGAGGGUGAUCGGCCACACUGGAACUGAGACACGGUCCAGACUCCUACGGGAGGCAGCAGUAGGGAAUCUUCCGCAAUGGGCGAAAGCCUGACGGAGCAACGCCGCGUGAGUGAUGAAGGUCUUCGGAUCGUAAAACUCUGUUAUUAGGGAAGAACAUAUGUGUAAGUAACUGUGCACAUCUUGACGGUACCUAAUCAGAAAGCCACGGCUAACUACGUG
rnacentral:rRNA from 1 species